AAUGAACGUUGGCGGCGUGGAUUAGGCAUGCAAGUCGAACGUGUACCCCGCAAGGGGGAAAGUGGCGAAAGGGAGAGGAACACGUGGAUACCUACCCUCGGGUCUUGGAUAGCCGCGGGAAACUGCGGGUAAUACGAGAUAAUGUCUCCGGACCAAAGGUGUGAUUCCGUCCGAGGACGGGUCCGCGUCCUAUUAGCUAGUUGGCGGGGUAAUGGCCCACCAAGGCAAUGAUGGGUACGAGGCAUGAGAGUGUGCCCUCGCUCACUGGGACUGAGAUACUGCCCAGACACCUACGGGUGGCUGCAGUCGAGAAUCUUCCGCAAUGGGCGCAAGCCUGACGGAGCGACGCCGCGUGUGGGAUGAAGGCCUUCGGGUUGUAAACCACUGUCGUAGAGGAGGAAUGGCCAUAGGGUUCUCUCUAUGGUUUGACCUAUUCUAGGAGGAAGGAUGGGCUAAGUCCGUGCCAGCCGCCGCCGUAAUAC
rnacentral:rRNA from 1 species